CAGCAAUGCCGCGUGAGUGAUGAAGGCCUUAGGGUUGUAAAGCUCUUUAGAGGGGAAGAUAAUGACUGUAGCAGGUAAAGAAACCCCGGCUAACUCCGUGCCAGCAGCCGCGGUAAUACGGAGGGGGUUAGCGUUGUUCGGAUUUACUGGGCGUAAAGGGCAUGUAGGCGGAUUGGACAGUUGAAGGUGAAAUCCCAGAGCUCAACUCUGGAACUGCCUUCAAUACUGCCAAUCU
rnacentral:rRNA from 1 species